AUUGAACGCUGGCGGCAGGCCUAACACAUGCAAGUCGAGCGAGUGGCGGACGGGUGAGUAAUGUCUGGGAAACUGCCUGAUGGAGGGGGAUAACUACUGGAAACGGUAGCUAAUACCGCAUACCAUCAGAUGUGCCCAGAUGGGAUUAGCUUGUUGGUGGGGUAACGGCUCACCAAGGCGAUGAUCCCUAGCUGGUCUGAGAGGAUGACCAUCCACACUGGAACUGAGACACGGUCCAGACUCCUACGGGAGGCAGCAGUGGGGAAUAUUGCACAAUGGGCGCAAUCCUGAUGCAGCCAUGCCGCGUGUGUGAAGAAGGCCUUCGGGUUGUAAAGUACUUUCAGCGAGGAGGCGUUACCCGCAGAAGAAGCACCGGCUAACUCCGUGCCAGCCGCCGCGGUAAUUC
rnacentral:rRNA from 1 species